AAUAACACCAAAAUGUAUUUUAACUAAUACUUCGUCUAUUUAUGGAAUUUUAAAUAUAGGUUGUCGUUUGAAAAUCAAAAGUAGGAAGUGAUUUUACCCCGAAAAUAAAAGGAUCACAAAAAAUAACAUAAAUACAAAAUCGUAGAACAGCUUGUUUCUUGAAUAUUUUAGAAAACAAAUUCCAGAAAAAGUUAAUACGUUCCGAGAUAACGAAUGUCUUACGAUAGAUUAAUCACUCUGUAUAAUUUGUUUUAUUUUUCCAGUGUCCUUCAGCAAAGCAACAACUGGGACCCGCGGUUCGAGUUCACCUACCGCGGAUUGGUGCCGAUGAAAGGAAAACCGGAGCCCAUGAAAGUUUGGCUCUUGACCAGGAAACAGAAAAUGGUUUAAAAACACCGCUGAGACGUCGUUGUGAACAUCAAAUACUAAUAAUAUAUACCCUAUAUAAGUAUAUACAUAAGUAGAUUUUCUUCUAUAUAUAUUAUAAUAUAUUUAGUUAUUAUUUAUACUCGUAUACAGCAAUUUUGUUAAUAUUGACUGUGUGUAGUUUAUAAUAUUAUUAUUAUAUUUUAAAAAAAAAAGUUUAAACGAAAAAAUAUUAUAUUACAAGUGGUUUUGACGGG